rnacentral:rRNA from 1 species
GAUGAACGCUGGCGGCGUGCCUAAUACAUGCAAGUCGAGCGAACAGACGAGGAGCUUGCUCCUCUGACGUUAGCGGCGGACGGGUGAGUAACACGUGGAUAACCUACCUAUAAGACUGGGAUAACUUCGGGAAACCGGAGCUAAUACCGGAUAAUAUAUUGAACCGCAUGGUUCAAUAGUGAAAGACGGUUUUGCUGUCACUUAUAGAUGGAUCCGCGCCGCAUUAGCUAGUUGGUAAGGUAACGGCUUACCAAGGCAACGAUGCGUAGACGACCUGAGAGGGUGAUCGGCCACACUGGAACUGAGACACGGUCCAGACUCCUAUGGGAGGCAGCAGUAGGGAAUCUUCCGCAAUGGGCGAAAGCCUGACGGAGCAACGCCGCGUGAGUGAUGAAGGUCUUCGGAUCGUAAAACUCUGUUAUUAGGGAAGAACAAAUGUGUAAGUAACUAUGCACGUCUUGACGGUACCUAAUCAGAAAGCCACGGCUAACUACGUG